UUGCCUCCUGAAAAAGCACCUUUAGGACAACCAUGACUGGAUGACUAAGAAUCAGAACAGAUUUUACUCUUGCUUGCUUUCCUUUGUAGACACCAUGUCCACUGCUAUACAUACCUGGAGGAUCAGUCAAUGGAAUCCAUUCCCUUAAAGACGUCCUUUCCACUGAUAGAUGGUCGGUGAAUAUAAUCCUAGGACAAUUUUAUUAAGCUUAAGAGUAUGUUAAAUAAUUACUAUAAAUAUUUACAAAUCAUUGUUGGAUGGUAUCAAUUCCAAAGUGCACUCUCUCGAGCUAUUUAACAACUAUAGGGAUCAACUGAAGCACAGUUAACAGAAUGAAAAUUAAUAAUAAUUAUUGAUUUACCACAAAUAUUUCUUUUUUGCUUUUUUAUGAGAAAACAUUCUAGUUGGGAGCUUUUGACAGACUUUUGUAACAUUAGGUUUUGCUUUAUUAAAUGUUAGAUUUUGUUCCAUUGUUUUUACGGGUGUCAGCACCAUAGACUUUAAAUUUUCUUCCAACACAACAGGAUUGUGUUAUGACUCUUCUAUAGAUAAUUUUCUUACUCAGAUCUUAUUGAAAUCUAUGUUAAAAGCUUGUGUCCAUGGAAUGUUUCUUCCUACUGAUGUUUCAUUAAUGCUGACUUUGAGAUUUAAUUUGUUAGGUUGGAUGGACUCAUAUAAUAUGAUGAGUUUAUCAAUUAGGUUCAGGAGUAUGAUCUCAAGAUUAAUUGCCAGCCACCUGCCAUUGUGCUUAAGCAUUCAACUCAAUACAGGGGUUUUAUAGUCUAUUUCAUUAUAUUAAUGGACAUUUCCCCCCAAUCCUUUAUGUUUUUGAAAAUCUGAAAACAUAAUCCAACUCUCAGCUUGGUACUGAUAUACGCUAUUAAUUCUAAUCUCUCACAAUUUUACUGUAUAUUUUAAUUGCAGUAAAUGAGUAGCGCUCCUGCACUGCUGAUCUGGAAAAAAGAUAAUUUUGCACUCAAGGUCAGGUGGAAAGAUUUGCAUUCAUAUAAUUCCCCACCCUUCAAGGUGAUAAACAAACAUCCGUAAUAAUUGUGAGAUUAAACUUCAAAAUAAUGUCUGAGAUAGGGAUUUCAUUAGGCAGAUAGUCAUUAAGAAAACAGCAGAACCCUUAUUAGUAUUGCAGUCUGUGGUAUGAUCCAUUUUGCAAAGUUUCAGCUAGCCCAGGGGUAUCCAAACUUGGCAACUUUAAGACUUGUUGACUUCAACUCCCAGAAUUGUGGGAGUUGAAGUCCACAAGUCUUAAAGUUGCCAAGUUUGGACAUCCCUGAGCUAGCCCAAUGCCAUGUCACAGAGCAAUGAAAUGAAGUCAAAGGUUUAUGUUUAAUGUGUUGGGGUAUAUUUAUCAUAGAUCCAGUAAGAAGAUGCUAAUUAGGUAUCCUUUUCUCAGUUCAGGAAUCCAGAUUAAAGCAUUUCUGAUGGGUUCAAAAGACUGUUCAGCUUUUAUUUGGACACCUUCAUCAAAGGGGAACUGAUCCCCUUUUUAAAUAAUUGGUUCCACUGUUAAACUGCCCAUGUCAUUAGGAAGUUUUCUUAACAUUGAAUCAGAAUCUACCUCCUUAUAAGACUUUUGCUUCCUAUCCCGUGUAGGAUUGUCAAAGAUUUAUUGAUAAAACAACAUUUGAUUAAGUUCAUCCUAGACUCCAGAGGAUGGUAGAGGAUAGGAAGGCCUGGAAGAACUUUGUCCAUGGGGUCACGAUGGGUCGGACAUGACUUCGCAACUAACAACAACAAAGAGAAGAAAAAUUUAAAACCAUAAGCAGCAACAACCCAAAUAUAUUUCAGAAACAAGGCUGAUUGGACACACACGACAGAUUAAAUUUUCAUGGGACAUAAAAACCAGAGAGAUCUUAAAAAUAGGCAAAUCAACUCCAUGAAAUGAGAUAGGACCUCAUUUUAAAUCUAGACAGGAUUUGCUCAUUUUCCUGCAGAAGGUUGUUUCUCUUGAUUUGGUCAGCAGAGGGAGCUACUGCAGUGUGCUAGAUUGCAGGACCAUUCAAAGGGUUUGGUGAAGAGAAGCAGUUGUCAGAACAAGAUGUCUAUGCAACCAAAGCAUAGUGGAAAAUAAAAUUUAUGUUGAAGAGUGUUGUGGAAGCAUGCUGUGGCCAUUCAUUUUCAGUUAAUUGAAUAGCAGCCUCCGGGAGGAUUGUCAAAAAGGAUAGGAAACAAAAAACGGUGGUGCUAAUUUACAUCUUAGACUGAAAUUGGAGAAGUCUUCCCAGCACCACCUCAUGUCUUUCCAAAGACCACAAACCAUAGGAUAUUCUUUUUAGAGCCUUGAAUACCACAACACACUCUUGAGCAUCAUUUGGAUGCUCAAGAGUGUGAGCAUCCAAAUGAUUAGAAAACCCAUGACUUUUUUUAGUCCUCUACUUACAACUUUUCGCUUAAUGACUGUUCGAAGUUAUGACAGCAACGAAAAAAGUGACUUAUGACUGUUUUUCACAUUUACAACUGUUGCAGCAUGCCCAUGGUCACAUGGUAAAAAUUCAGAUGCUUGCCAACUGGCUCAUAUUUAUGACGGUUGCAGUAUCCCAGGGUCAUGUGAUCGCCUUUUGAUUUUGACAAGCAAAAUCAGUGAGUAAGUCAGAUUCACCUGUGAAUCUGUGAAGCGCUGUGAAGUGGCAUACAAGUCUUAGUGCUAUUCAGGAGUGAAAUACAGCAGGUUCUGACAGGUUCUGGAAAACCGGUAGCAGAAAUGUUGAGCAGUUCGGAGAACCGAUAGCGGAAAUUUUGAAGAACUGGCAAAUACCACCUCUGGCUGGCCCCAGAGUGGGGUGGGAAUGGAGAUUUUGCAAUAUCCUUCCCCCAGGAGUGGGGAGGGAAUGGGGAUUUUGCAGUAUCCUUCCCCUGGAGUGGGGUUGGAAUGGAGAUUUUGCAGUAUCCUUUCCCUGACAUGCCCACCAAGCCACACCCACAGAAGCGGUAGUAAAAAAAUUUGGAUUUCACCACUGGUGCUAUUGCUAUUCAAUUGUGGUCAUAAGUCGAGGACUAGCUGUAUUAGAAUGUUCUUCACACACUCUGCCAUUUUGUCCAUUCUUCCACAUUAAGUUCAUUUCUGGUUAUACAUGUUCAUGUCUCUGUGUUGGGAGGGGCAUCCAAUGACCGAAGGCCAUGAGUACAAAAAAGUACAGAAAAGCUCUUUCUUUCCACAGGAUCUAAUAUAUGAAUAUGUUAUAAGUUAGGUCACUGUUAAAUUAACAUUUAAUGUAUUGAUAGUAUAAAAAAUGGAAAUAAUAGAAGCUGGCUAUGUCUUAUACCUCCCUGAAUGGUCAUAACUGUGAAAUUAAUGGGCUAGAAGUGUGAAAUUAGCACAUAGACUUGGAAACGUGUUACUAGUGGAUUUAUAUAACACCCCCCCCCAAAAAAAAGUCUCGUAUGUUUUAGGUUUCUUUCUUUUUAGAACCAUAGUGGGGAUUUUCUGAUUUCUAUGAACAUUUGAGCAUCUGAUACUCAGCCAUUGCCAUCUUCUUACAAAAUUCAUCUUCUCACCAUUGUACUUCCAUGCGC